GAGUAACCUGCCCUCUUCUUUGGGAUAACGCCCGGAAACGGGUGCUAAUACUGGAUAUUCACUUGCCUUCGCAUGGGGUUGGAUGGAAAGGUAUUUUUUCUGCUGGGGGAUGGGCUCGCGGCCUAUCAGCUUGUUGGUGGGGUGAUGGCUUACCAAGGCUUUGACGGGUAGCCGGCCUGAGAGGGUGACCGGUCACAUUGGGACUGAGAUACGGCCCAGACUCCUACGGGAGGCAGCAGUGGGGAAUAUUGCACAAUGGGCGCAAGCCUGAUGCAGCGACGCCGCGUGAGGGAUGGAGGCCUUCGGGUUGUGAACCUCUUUCGCUCAUGGUCAAGCCGCAACUCAUGGUUGUGGUGAGGGUAGUGGGUAAAGAAGCGCCGGCUAACUACGUGCCAGCAGCCGCGGUAAUACGUAGGGCGCGAGCGUUGUCCGGAAUUAUUGGGCGUAAAGGGCUUGUAGGCGGUUGGUCGCGUCUCCCGUGAAAUCCUCUGGCUUAACUGGGGGCGUGCGGUGGGUACGGGCUGACUUGAGUGCGGUAGGGGAGACUGGAACUCCUGGUGUAGCGGUGGAAUGCGCAGA
rnacentral:rRNA from 1 species